rnacentral:rRNA from 1 species
AUUGAACGCUGGCGGCAGGCCUAACACAUGCAAGUCGAACGAGUGGCGGACGGGUGAGUAAUGUCUGGGAAACUGCCUGAUGGAGGGGGAUAACUACCGGAAACGGUAGCUAAUACCGCAUACCAUCAGAUGUGCCCAGAUGGGAUUAGCUAGUUGGUGGGGUAACGGCUCACCAAGGCGACGAUCCCUAGCUGGUCUGAGAGGAUGACCAGCCACACUGGAACUGAGACACGGUCCAGACUCCUACGGGAGGCAGCAGUGGGGAAUAUUGCACAAUGGGCGAAAGCCUGAUGCAGCCAUGCCGCGUGUAUGAAGAAGGCCUGCGGAUUGUAAAGUACUUUAAGCUGGGAGGCGUUACCCACAGAAUAAGCACCGGCUAACUCCGUGCCAGCCGCCGCGGUAAUUC